GGUAGUCAGACGAGCCAGGAUCACGAGAACGAAGAGCAGCGGAGUCAGGAACAAGGCCAGAAGUCAGGAACAAGGAAUACACGGGAUACAGGAAGUCUUCUGGGAAACAGGAAACCACGCAAGGGCAAGGAGGUACUGGAACUUGCUGCUUUAAAAGGCUGCACUGAUUAGCAACAGGGCAGGUUACAACAAUCAGGUGAGUAACCGUGGCAACAUUAAUAAAGGAACUGAUUGUUAAAAUCAGCUGAAAGAUCAGACACAGAGAAAGAAAGGGUUGCUGUUUAAAACCGCAAAGAAAAACUGACACUCACACUCAGUCACUCACUCACUUAUUUUUAAAAUAAGUUUACUUAUGGUUUGGAUCCUCCUGCUCAGUCUCCGGCCUUCUGCCUUCAGCCUGUCAGCCCGAGCCGACGCAGUGUGUGCAGGAGAUCUUUAUCUCCCACACUGUCGGCUCUUACUAUUGACAGCCUCCUGGGUUAUUACAGGACACAGGGGGAGCGUUCACAG